GACGAACGCUGGCGGCGUGCCUAAUACAUGCAAGUAGAACGCUGAAGCGAGGAGCUUGCUCUUCUUGGAUGAGUUGCGAACGGGUGAGUAACGCGUAGGUAACCUGCCUUGUAGCGGGGGAUAACUAUUGGAAACGAUAGCUAAUACCGCAUAACAAUGGCUGACACAUGUCAUUUAUUUGAAAGGGGCAAUUGCUCCACUACAAGAUGGACCUGCGUUGUAUUAGCUAGUAGGUGAGGUAACGGCUCACCUAGGCGACGAUACAUAGCCGACCUGAGAGGGUGAUCCGCCACACUGGGACUGAGACACGGCCCAGACUCCUACGGGAAGCAGCAGUAGGGGAUCUUCGGCAAUGGGGGCAACGCUGACCGAGCAACGCCGCGUGAGGGAAGAAGGGUUUCGGAUCGUAAAGCUCUGUUGUAAGUCAAGAACGAGUGUGAGGGUGGAAAGUUCACACUGUGACGGUAGCUUAACAGAAAGGGACGGCUAACUACGUG
rnacentral:rRNA from 1 species